rnacentral:misc_RNA from 1 species
AACGCACAUUGCGCCCAUUGGUAUUCCGAUGGGCAUGCCUGUUCGAGCGUCAUUAUCCUCCCUCAAACCUCGUGUUUGGUGUUGGACCGUGUUGGUUUCCGGACCAACUGGUCUCAAAGACAAUGACGGCGUCCGUGGGAGCCUCGGUGCAACGAGCUUUUCGAAGCACGCACGCGAGACGUUCCUUCCGGGCUGGUCGCACACCCUUCUUCUCAAGGUUGACCUCGGAUCAGGUAGGAAUACCCGCUGAACUUAA